rnacentral:lncRNA from 1 species
CUAACCCAAUCUAACCCUACCUGUUUGGAUUUUUGGGGGUUAGAUAGCUCAACUCUAACCCAAUCUAACUCUAACCCUGAUAUCCAAACAGGGCCAUACUCGCCUUUUUCUCCCCAAGUGGGCCGGGUGAUCAUCAUUACUAUCUACAAUACCUCACUGACAAUGCAUGGCCAUGGUAUGCUUUGUCACAGUUAGUGCUGUAGCGAUCAUUCCCCUUUCAUUUCCUGCAUGCAUGCAUCUUUUUGACGUACGGCUCCCUGUGUCUGUAAAGGUAAACCGGACCUGGGCUUCACCCUAGCUGGGAAGAAUGUAAAGCUCGACUGGUUGGCAACAGAAGACAUGUGAGCAUCUAGAGAUUAAUCGGAUGCAUACUCGUGUGGCUCCCGCCCCAUGUGCACGUACGAUCGAAGUGGAGGAGAGGGAACCAAAGCUAGAAGAUCUACUCUUCUAGGAACAAAGUGCAAAAGAGGCUUGGGAGGGAGAGACAAAGCAUAUCAAAGGCAGAUAGUAAUGGAUAGCGGGAAAUUUGCUGUGAAUGAUAUGCUUGCACUUUGAUAAAGCAUGGUGUGCACCAGGAGCAUGAUAUCAAGGUGCGUACAAGUGUGCGUGCGUGGUACAGAAAGAGAUGGAUAGCGAGAUGGCUAGAUAGGCUUUAUCAAAGGUGGGUAGGACAGGAGCAUGCAAGCGAGUAGUUAGCUUGCCUGCUAGCCUAAAGGGCUCGCAUCUAUAUGCAUGUGUGCCCAUCGAUCGCUUCCUUCUGGUGCACAGCACACACGAUCCAGUUUCAAGAGUGUACUGUAUGAUGAAUCGAUCACUCUCUCUCUGCUAGCUAUAUAUCUCUUAGCUAGCUAGCUGAUAGGUUGGAAUUGAUACCUUCCUGGUCUGGAUAUCGAUCAUUGGUGCAAAUAUAUUUUCUUGGUCUGAAUAUCAUUGGUGCAAAUCUGGCUGGCUAAAGCGAAUCAGUAAAGGAAUGUUAUCAAACAACAAAAGGAAUGAUAUCAACAAAACAAAAAUUAACCUGAAAGAUCCUAGAUAUUCAUGCCCCUCAGUGCAUCCACACAAGAUCAACAUGCUCAAAGCAAGUUAAUCUGAAGAAAAUUCUAAAUUAUACC